rnacentral:lncRNA from 1 species
UGUUAUUAUUGCAUAGUAAAUAUUUAUACGAGACUAACGCAACUGGAACGAGUCAAUUCGGAAUUAAAACGAAGGAGUUAUGAUUUUCUGAAGAUUCUAUGUGUUUUGUACAAGAUUAAAUAGGACAUAAAUUUUUAAUGUGACUAUCAUGUCAAAUCAGUGGCACUAAUUGAUAAACAAUAAUCUUACAAAAUUAUAGGAACUGAAAUAGACUCAUUUGGAUUUAAUAUGAAUUUUCUAUAGAUUUAACAAGAUUUUGGAAUCGUUUUUAUAGAAGAAAUUCAUUUUAUAAAUCAAUUUCUCUGAUUUUCCAUUUCCCUAGACCGCGCCUCAAAUAUCAGAGAAUACAGGGUCUAGGAUGCAAAACAUCUAAGACUCAGUGAAUAGAAUCCCUGGACUGCGGGUUGGUUCCCGUUUUGCGCGGGGCCUCUUUAGCAAAUGUGCUAGCCGAAGGGGUAUGGAGAAUCCCCAUCCGUCCGAUCCCUAAUAGACGCGUUAGAUUAUCUUCAAUUAAAUCCGAACCGUUAUUCUAUACGCGCCCUUAGAUCUGGAUAUUACGGUUCACGGCCGAUCCGCGGGUUGGAUCGCACGACCGGAUCCAACCGUUUGUUCCCAACGGACGGUCCCGAUUCAAAGAAAUCCGCUCGCCGGCCAACUCUAAUCCCGAUCGUCCAAACAGGAUCCAACGAUCCAGGCCUCGUCACCUACCUUCCGCUGAGAACACGCCUAGUGAGCCCUGGCCGCGACGCCCUCGACGGCAGUCAAGGAUCCGCCUCCCUGGCGAGCAGGCGACCAACAGAGAAGGCUAUGGAUUGGAGCGGGGAUAAUUCUUACGCAUCACACAAACAAUGGCGAACUGCAGAGAUGCCCUCACCGCGAUUGGAGGCGACCGCGCGACAUCGUUUCUUCGAGGCGAGGUGCCGGUGCUCUAGCUUGAUGUCGCUGAGAACGCCGCCCGCCACGCGUGUUAUGAACCCAGACGCACUCCACCCUGGUGCACCAAGAUCGCACACUCGUACCUCCUCGACAAUGGUCCACCCUAAUGUUUCCACCGACUGCUUCCUGGCCAAUCCCGAUCUGUGGUCGACGCUAGCAGAGCGUAAUGGGAGGCGAAGGAAGGAGCUAGGUCAGACGGCUACUUAUUGGUGGAGAGUUUUUUUCC